rnacentral:lncRNA from 1 species
UUUUUUUUUGCAUGUGGUGAAACACUGUCCGGUAUUUGGACUGGGAUCGGACGUCCGAUCCCUAGUCCUCUCCGAUUCUCCCAAUCUCCCCCUCUCGUCUGCCUCAACCUCAAGCCAAUCGCGCUCACGCUGGGAGCAGACCGGUCGCCGGUGGCGGUAUCAGGGAGUAACGUGUUCCGACGAGGGGCGGCUAGCCGGCUAUACUGGGAGCAUAACGAGCCCUGCCGGCGGGGGGCGAACGACAUCGAGGGACGCUUAGCCGCUCGGAGGGCGGUGGAUUUUGUUCUCUGGUAG